rnacentral:lncRNA from 1 species
UACAGAAUAAUGGAAUCUCAGUUUACCUACUUAAAAACCACUUGAUAUGAAAGGAAACUUUUCUACAAAGUAAUCUUGCAGAAUAAGCUCCAGAAGCUGCCAAUACUCCAUCAUGACUUGGAUGAUUUUUCGAAUCCAGAAUUAAUGGCUUCUAAUGCAUCUGAAAAGGUAGAAUACAGCUGAAUCAGUUCACUCUUGCGCACGUCAUUAACAUGUAUUAAGGAAUACUGCAAAAUCUAGACGAGAAUGGAGAAACUAAUUACAAACAGGAAAAAAGAAGUAUUCCAUGGAUAGGCAAACUCUCUGUCGAUCAUACAUGUAUGACAAGCAGAAGUAACGGCUAUACGUUGCCGGUUGAAUCCACCCACAACAUAAAUAAAGAUAUACCAAGUAGUUUCAUUCUCUGACACAAAAUCUGCAGAAUAGUUUGUCAUGAGGUUUCUAACUAUGAUUGAUAAACAUAAAUAGAGGUUUAUUAGGCCGGAUUCUACUAACUGCAUCGCCAACACAGGGAUGAUGCACGGCUGUCAACUGCGAAAGAUGCCAAAGCGCACAAAUAAAAGAGGCCACUGAGCCCAACCCGUGACCCAGCACCAAACAGUGCACACGGACGAAAAGAUGGCCUCCGAGUCCAGUCAUGACCCAGCACCGAUAAAUGUGCACGGAACAAAACAAAUGCAGUGAAAAGAUCCCCUACGAGGGCACAGUCGUAAAAAAAUAGUGCAAUUGCAUCCCCUGGGUUGGCACGUGCUAUACAUUAGCACGGGGCUUUUUGUUCAAAUUCCUUUUUUAAAGAUUUUUUCAACACAACACCUCUUGUAUCCUUGCCUUGUCGGUUGUCGCUCAUCACUUGAACAACUCCAGCACCGCCACCGUCGCCGGGAUGCAGCUCUAACAGCAAAAACCGGAAGCCAACCAUGGCGACUAGCGUGUCUGGCUGCAGCGGCCAUGGAGAGGAGCGCUUGAAGCCAGCCAUGGUGUUCAAUCGCAGCUGCCGUGAGGUUCAUGAGCCAUAUCCGGACCUCCUGCAGCAAUCAGAAUCGAGAAAAAAUUCAGUAACAUAUUGCUGUCUCUGGAUUCAGAAAUGCCUAAAGCAAGAAUUACAUCGAACUUCAAAUAAGAAACACGGACUUCCCUUAUUCAAAAUGAAAGUAAUUUCCAACGGAAAUAACAGCCCUACAAAUUCAAAUAAGAAACACCAAGGAAAAAAAGCCUGCCUAUGAAACGGCCCUGUUCCGUUCCUUGGAGUCUGCCUAUGCUCUCCGCGCUCUUGCCCUUUGCCAGAUUAGAUCAAUGUUCAGCAUCAGUAAUAGUACGGCAGCAGAAUUUUAACUUGCCUAAAAUAAAGUCUACUGCUUGGUGAGAAAAUGUAGCAGUAGCAAACGAAACCUCAAGCAGAUUAAACAUUUACUACAGUACAUGGACUUCUCGUAACCACAGAAUUACCAGGCCAUCAGUAACAACUUGGCAGAACAUGAGAAAAUGUCAAAGACAAGGAUCACCAUUUUCAGAAAAUAUAAACAGUGAGCAUAUUACAGAAGUUAGAAGUAAUGUAAACAGUGAGCAUACAGCUAGCUCUACUGUCACCAACUAGGAUAAUUACUGAUGCUUCACAUUCACUUCCAUGUCAAUCACUUAAGUGGAGAUAAAACUGAAACUUCCUUGCUAUAACAACCACAACAUAUUAACAAAAAUGAGCGAUGCAGCACUAUACCUACUAAGAAAAUCCAUCAACACGCACACACUCAUCAGAUUCCGACACAAUAUAUAUGUAUCCCACAUGACUGAGUUACAUGUGUGGAUGUGCUUCCAUACAGCCAGCAAUCAAGACAUCCUCAUGUCCCUUAAGCAAGACAGGACUUGCACAAUGGUUGAAUGUGAAAGAUAUUCUCGUGAAAAUAUCUCUCGCGGCCUGCAGUGAGAAAAUAGAACAAAUUAUCCAACUGCAUAGCAUAUUCCUAUUCUCGUCUAGCUAUUAAAAUGUAAAACAGAAAAUAAUUAUCAGGUGUUCAUAGUCUAAAAUCUGUUGCUUAUACUAUUUACCUGUAUCAACAUGUACUGAUAAAAUGCCAUGGAUAUUUGCACAGCUAUCAAGCAAAACAGCAUCAUAUAUAACUUCCAUAUUUGCACAGCUAUCAACUAAAGCAGCAUUAUAUAUCAACCCAGCGUUUUUUUAAGAAUCUUCGACUAACAGAAAUAAUUCUUUAGGAUAGUGCUAACCAGAUCUCUGUAGCCAAAUAAUAAGAGCCUGAGUCAUGUCCAAAUUAUCACAAUCAGAGAACCAACAUUAUCCUUUUUGCUUACUAGUUUCAUUAUAUAUGCAAAACAUAUGGAUAAGCAACCUGGAAAUAUUCGCGCAUUUCAUCAUGAUGGCAAAGAAGUAGUGAUCUUUACCUUGAUCAAACAAGGAGAGCAGUUACUUCAUUUGCUAAUCCUAUUCCAUUCUAGCCGGUGCAUGCAGAGUCAAAUUCCAACUAAUAGUAUCAUCAUUUUAAGAUCUGUAACCUCCUCUUACUGCACGUAUACAAGGAGUUCAGAUAUAUUACAACACAAGUGGUAUGCACUGCUCGUAGUUAAUAGUAGCAUUGCUCACAUAAGAAUAUGAACAAGAGAAAGUAUUUGACAAGCAUUGCUCACAGCAGAAUGUAAAAUUUAUAAGAUCUAAACGGAUAACCCUAGCAUUGCACAUUUAGGCUUGGGUCGUAACAUAUCACCAAUAGAGUAGGAAACCUGGUAAACUCAGUUAGUAGCCCUUUUCGCUGCUUACUUAGCACUGCUUAUUUCGAAGGAAAGCUGAAGAAAUAUGGGUAAACAUCCACUAAAUCAAUUAGGGAACAUGUGACUCACGGCAUAUAACACAAACAGGUUCAACAAAUAUUAUUGGUUUACCAAAGUCCAUCAGGAAACAUGUGCAACAAAGAAAAACAGAAAAGCAAGUCAUCUUGCAGAGAAGUAGAAGUCAACCACAGAAAAUUCUAACCUUCUGUAAAACACUUGCGCAGUCAAAUACAAAAUAAUGGAAUCUCAGUUUACCUACUUAAAAAUCACUUGAUAUGGGAGGAAACUUUUUUACAAAGUAAUCUUGCAGAAUAAGCUCCAGAAGCUGCCAAUACUCCAUCAUGAAUUGGAUGAUUUUUCGAAUCCAGAAUCAAUGGCUUCUAAUUUCUAAUGCAUUUGAAAAGGUAAAAUACAGCUCAAUCAGUCCACUCUUGCCCACGUCACUAACACAUACUAAGGAAUACUGCAAAAUCUAGACGAGAAUGGAGAAACUAAUUACAAAUAGGAAAAAAGAAGUAUUCCAUGGAUAGGCAAAAUCUUUGUCGAUCAUACAUGUAUGACAAGCAGAAGUAAUGGCUAUACGUUGCCGGUUGAAUCCACCCAUAGCAUAAAUAAAGAUUAGUUUCAUUCUCUGACAAAAGAUCUGCAGAAUAGUUUGUCAUGAGGUUUCAAACUAUGAUUGGUAAACAUAAACAGAGGAUAAGCACACAUGAAUUUUUCCUGAGUUGUGUAGAAAAAGGCCUUUAAAGACAAUAAUGAAGAGAGUACUAUUACAUAAUUGAUUUAUAUUUCCGUUUUUCCUCUCCAACUAGCCAGGUUGGGCAUAAACCCUGGAAUUAAUAACAAAAUAAAUGAGAAGAUUCAGAGUCUGGGUGCAGCGGCGACUUGGGUGUCGCGUGACGCAAUGGUGCGAGGCCGCGGCAGAAAGCGGUGGUGCGAGGCGGCGGCAGCGGGACGCGGUGGUGUAAGGCUGCGUCGACGUUACGCCGUGGUGCUGCCUAGGCCGCGGCGGCAGGGCUGUUGGCGACGGCUAUGCUAUUGGCGGUGCUUAGGGCUUCCUCGCUGCUCCGCCGUUGCCGUUCCGAGGGGAUGACGGGAGCAGGGAGGCUAACUGACCUAGGUGGAGAAAAGGGAGGACCCAGCAACGACGACCGCGGCGGCCAAGCUGUUGGCGGUGGCGGCGACGACGCGCACGCAGAGGUGCUACACCCGCCAUGAGUAGCAGGAGACUCUGCGGCGAAGACACGAGAGUGGAAGGGGAACGGGCCUCGGGCCGGUGCGGGACAAGAAAUCCACCGGGCAGAUUAGUACCAUACCGAAAGUUUAAUCAGGACGUGACCAGUUUAUUAGGCCCAAUUCUACUAGCUGUAUCGCCAACACAGGGAAAAUGCAUGGCUGUCGGCUGUGAAAGAUGCCAAAGCGCACAAAUAAAAGAGGCCAUCGAGCCCAACCCGUGACCCAGCACCCAAUAGUGCACACGGACGAAAAGAUGGCCUCUGAGCCCAGCCGUGACCCAGCACCGAUAAGUGCACACGGACCAAAAUAAAUGCAGCGAAAAGAUCCCCUAUGAGGGCACAGUCGUAAAAAAAUAGCACAAUUGCAUCCCCUGAGUUGGCAAGUGCUAGACAUUAGCACUUGGCUUUUUGUUCAGAUUCCAUUUUUAAGGCUUUUCCUACAAGAAAACACAUGGGAUGCAGCAGCCAUCGAGAGCAGUGCUCGAAGCCAGCCAUGGCGUCCGCUCGCAGCUGCCGCGAGGUUGCUUGUAGUGGCCAGGGCACAUCGCGCGGCCAGCUUUUUGCUGCCCCUCCUCGAUGUUUGUUGCUGCAGUGAAGAAGAAAGCGGAUGAGCGAGAAAUCAAACAUUCUAUGAAAGAGUGAGAGUUCAAACAGAAUAAGAUUGCUAGAUCGUAAAAUAGGGUAGCUAGGGUAGCUCAUUGUCCUAUGAAUUAUGUAUGGACAACUCGAAACAAUGCAUGUUGGUUGCAUAGAGCUCCUUAUUUUGUUAAGGAUCUUGUAAUAGCUGAUUGCAACCCUAUUGAAUUGAAAUAAAAACUCGGAUUCCCUGCAAAAAAAGGUGGAUGAGCAGCGGAGGAGAUGGAGAUGUGCUGCUACAGCAACAAGAGAGAUAUUUCACAGGGUGGGAAAGAGAUGAGAAUAAGAAGGACGGUGUUAACGCCCAUUGCAAGUUGGAAUGGCAGGACGCUCGGAGCUGCCUCCCAUGCGUGCGAUCUAGCCAGAUCGGACGCAUCGCGUGCGUCCGGCUCAAAGUUGUGUCGACCAGCCAUGUUCAAACAUUUUUCUUUUUUAACAUAUCAGCAAACCGUGUAACUAUCUCUUUAUAUUGUUGUCCAGGGCAGUGCUAUACAAGGUACACAGAUCAAAUUCCACGUGAAGCGCUAAUGAUAGAGGACAGAACCAUAUAGACACUUACCAGUAGCACACUCUUGUCAUUACACACACGCGCGUCGAGUGCAGAGAGACAUCAAGACGAACGCACUAACCAACGAAGGGCAUGAUUCCACGAGAUAGGCUAGUCUCCGACUUGCAUUCUGAUCUUGGGAUAAAGCUCUCAUCGUCAUGCCCACCAGGUUCAGAGGUGUGGGUGUUGGCUAUUCUAUCGUCGUCCUUGGCGAAACAAUAGCAAGGUUGGGCAUAAACCAUGGAAUUAAUAACAAAAUAAAUGAGAAGAUUCAGAGUCUGGGUGCAGCGGCGACCUGGGUGUCGCGUGACGCAAUGGUGCGAGGCCGCGACAGAAAGCGGUGGUGCGAGGCGGCGGCAACGGGACGCGGUGGUGUAAGGCUGCAUCGGCGGAACGCCGUGGUGCUGCCUAGGCCGCGCCGGCAGGGCUGUUGGCGACGGCUAUGCUAUUAGCGGUGCCUAGGGCUUCCUCGCUGCUCCGCCGUUGCCGUUCCGAGGGGAUGACGGGAGCAGGGAGGCUAACUGACCUAGGUGGAGAAAAGGGAGGACCCAGCGACGACGACCACGGCGGCCAAGCUGUUGGCGGUGGAACUUCCGGUCAAAACCCUAUCUCAAGCAUCACCCUAUCCUGUAGUACAAAGUUUAAGUUCCAUAUCAGUUCUGCACUUGUCAUUUCUUCCGGUCAAAACCCGUUCUAAAAGUUGAACAGAGUGCUAGUUGGUGGAACUUCCCUGAUCCUGAUUACAGGUGAAAAGCUCAGUUCUGUCACUGGCCAUCUUCUCAUUUCCGGCAUGGAGAGUGAGUAAAUUAUCUGAAUAAAUAAUUUCUAAUUCGUAGAAUGGCAAAUGUUUUCUUCUUUUUCAAUAGGCUCUGCAACAGUUGGAAAACAGCUGAUAAUGUCACCACCCUGCAAUUGUGCUCAUGUGCUGAAAUGGUUGUUUGCACUACAAACCUAGCUCCAGUUACACCUGCAAAAAUUCUAGCCUUGAGUAGAAUUGACCGUUCAGUAAUACUACCCCAAUAUUACUUCAUUGGCAGCUAUCUCAAGCAUCACCCUAUCCUGUAGUACAAAGUUUAAGUUCCAUAUCAGUUCUGCACUUGUCAUUUCUUCUGGUCAAAACCCGUUCUAAAAGUUGAACAGAGUGCUAGUUGGUGGAACUUCCCUGAUCCUGAUUACAGGUGAAAAGCUCAGUUCUGUCACUGGCCAUCUUCUCAUUUCCGGCAUGGAGAGUGAGUAAAUUAUCUGAAUAAAUGAUUUCUAAUUCGUAGAAUGGCAAAUGUUUUCUUCUUUUUCAAUAGGCUCUGCAACAGUUGGAAAACAGCUGAUAACUUGUCAAAAGUAGUUGCAGAAGACGUAACGGGUAAAUGUAUCAUCAACUACUUCCUAAAACUUGGAUAGCUUUUCAUUAGUUUCCCCAAAAGUGAUUGAAUGAAAAGUUAUUCAUGAUUCUAUUUCCUUUAGUGUCUCACAGUGCAUUGAUCUAGGAAGUUGACUAGUGAUGUAGGAAGAUGUCAGACUGGAUGGCAAAAAAGAAAGGGAGGUGGGAUAUGCAAUCUGUAGCACUAUCUGAAUUCUUACUUGGAUUAUCAUCACUUCCCGACUAAAAUUCUUGAUCAAGUGAUACAUGCUUGUCACGGUAGUCCUGGACAUUUCCAAAAAAUUGCAAGUGAUACAUUCUUGAUCAAGUGAUUUGGAUUAUCAACUUAUAUACUUAAUUUUUGUUGGACUGCAAUAUAUUGCGCUCAACAUAUUACAGUUCCUAAAGCUUUGCAUAUUGGGCAUAAACCGUGGAAUUAAUAACAAAAUAAAUGAGAAGAUUCAGAGUCUGGGUGCAGCGGCGACCUGGGUGUCGCGUGACGCAAUGGUGCGAGGCCGCGGCAGAAAGCAGUGGUGCGAGGCGGCGGCAGCGGGACGCGAUGGUGUAAGGCUGCGUCGGCGGAACGCCAUGGUGCUGCCUAGGCCGCGGCGGCAGGGCUGUUGGCGACGGCUAUGCUAUUGGCGGUGCAUAGGGCUUCCUCGCUGCUCCGCCGUUGCCGUUCCGAGGGGAUGACGGGAGCAGGGAGGCUAACUGACCUAGGUGGAGAAAAGGGAGGACCCAGCGACGACGACCGCGGCGGCCAAGCUGUUGGCGGUGGCGGCGACGACGCGCACGCAGAG